CGGACGGGUGAGUAAUGUCUGGGAAACUGCCCGAUGGAGGGGGAUAACUACUGGAAACGGUAGCUAUACCGCAUAACGUCGCAGACCAAAGAGGGGACCUUCGGGCCUCUUGCCAUCGGAUGUGCCCAGAUGGGAUUAGCUAGUAGGUGGGGUAACGGCUCACCUAGGCGACGAUCCCUAGCUGGUCUGAGAGGAUGACCAGCCACACUGGAACUGAGACACGGUCCAG
rnacentral:rRNA from 1 species